rnacentral:lncRNA from 1 species
UACAAAUCUCCCCCACCGCCUGUCUACUAUUACAAAUCCCCGCCACCUCCAGCUUACCACUACCAAUCGCCACCCCCACCAAGUUACAAGCUGGUAGUGGUCACGGGCAAGGUCUAUUGCAACAGAUGCUGGAACACCACAAGCAGAUACCUUCAGGCAUCACCACAUGGGUCUGCUAGGUACAUUCUCAAUUGCAUUGUAUUCGAUAUUGUUCUCCUCACUCAUUUCCUCUUGAUACUGUGUGCAAUAAUGCAGGUGGCAAAGUGAAGAUCACAUGUGGCGAAUCUUACUACUACGGCUACACCAACAAGCAUGGAAUCUUUAGAAUUGAGCUCCCGCACCAAUCCUGGGAAGAAGCAAGCAGCUGCAAGGCCAAGAUUAUCAAGAGCAGCUACAUCAAGUCGUCAUGCAAUGUCAUCACGGACUACAGGUCUGGUGCAACAGGGGCCAAGCUCAAGUUCAAAUCGAAAACAGAGAAGGAGCUCGUCUUGACAGCCGGUCCUUUCAUCUAUGCAACUCCAGAGCCAUCGUCAGUCUGCUUCUACACAUCACCUCCCUAUGAGUACAAGUCACCUCCGCCACCAACACCGGUCUACCAUUACGCCUCUCCGCCACCUCCGGUCUACUACUACAAAUCGCCACCUCCUCCUUCACCGGUUUACUACUACAAAUCCCCUCCUCCUCCUUCGCCGGUCUACUAUUACAAAUCCCCGCCUCCACCACCAUACUAUUACAAGUCCCCACCUCCACCUCCGCCUAAGUAUUACUACAAGUCGCCCCCACCACCGUCUCCAUACUAUUACAAAUCCCCGCCCCCUCCACCGUACUAUUACAAAUCCCCACCACCACCUCCCUACAAAUACGAAUCGCCGCCGCCUCCUCCUUACAAAUACGAGUCCCCACCUCCACCACCUUACUAUUACAAGUCCCCACCACCACCUCCAUACAAAUAUGAAUCCCCGCCACCUCCAGUCUACAAAUAUGAGUCUCCGCCACCCCCAGUUUACAAAUACAAGUCGCCACCACCACCAUACAAGUACGAGUCACCACCACCACCUCCAUACAAGUAUGAAUCCCCGCCACCUCCACCUUAUUACUACAAGUCCCCUCCACCACCACCAUACAAGUACGAGUCGCCACCACCUCCUCCGUACAAGUAUGAAUCUCCACCACCACCAGUUUACAAAUACAAGUCACCUCCGCCGCCACCUUAUUACUACAAAUCCCCACCGCCACCUCCAUACAAGUACGAGUCUCCACCUCCUCCUCCGUACAAGUAUGAAUCUCCACCACCACCACCUUAUUACUACAAAUCCCCCCCGCCACCUCCAUACAAGUACGAGUCACCGCCUCCUCCUCCGUACAAGUAUGAAUCUCCACCACCGCCAGUUUACAAAUACAAGUCACCCCCGCCACCACCUUAUUACUACAAAUCCCCGCCACCACCUCCAUACAAGUACGAGUCUCCACCUCCUCCUCCGUACAAGUAUGAAUCUCCACCACCACCUCCUUAUUACUACAAAUCCCCGCCGCCACCUCCCUACAAGUAUGAAUCCCCGCCACCACCUCCCUACAAAUACGAGUCACCUCCACCACCACCUUACUAUUACAAAUCUCCUCCACCGCCUCCAUACAAGUAUGAGUCGCCACCACCACCAGUCUACAAAUACGAGUCUCCGCCACCCCCAGUUUACAAAUACAAGUCGCCCCCUCCACCUUAUUACUACAAGUCUCCGCCACCCCCGCCAUACAAAUAUGAAUCCCCACCUCCACCUCCCUACAAGUAUGAAUCGCCUCCUCCUCCACCUUACUACUACAAGUCCCCUCCACCACCUCCCUACAAAUAUGAAUCCCCGCCACCACCUCCCUAUAAAUACGAGUCACCACCACCACCACCUUACUAUUACAAAUCUCCUCCACCGCCUCCAUACAAGUAUGAGUCGCCACCACCACCUCCCUACAAAUACGAGUCACCACCACCACCACCUUACAAGUAUGAAUCCCCACCUCCACCUCCGUACAAGUAUGAAUCACCUCCACCGCCUCCAUACAAGUAUGAAUCCCCUCCUCCACCUCCCUACAAAUACGAGUCACCACCCCCACCACCUUAUUACUACAAAUCGCCUCCGCCACCGGAGUAUCAAUCACCUCCUUACGUGUAUAAAUCUCCAC